UACGUAGGGUGCGAGCGUUAAUCGGAAUUACUGGGCGUAAAGCGUGCGCAGGCGGUUCGCUGUGUCCGAUGUGAAAGCCCCGGGCUUAACCUGGGAAUGGCAUUGGAAACUGGCGGGCUUGAGUGCGGCAGAGGGGGGUGGAAUUCCGCGUGUAGCAGUGAAAUGCGUAGAUAUGCGGAGGAACACCGAUGGCGAAGGCGGCUCUCUGGGGUGCACCUGACGCUGAUGCGCGAAAGCGUGGGGAGCGAACCGG
rnacentral:rRNA from 1 species